UGUUUUCUACUUCAUCAUAUUUUUUUUUCAGGUUUUAUUACUGCUAAAGAACUUUUCAUCAUAUCAUCUGUUUUUUUAUUUUGUGAGCAUAUGUUUUUUUUUUUUUUUUUUUUUUUUUUUUUUUUUUUUUUUUUUUUAAAAAAUCAUUUUUGCAUAGUUUACCUUGUCCCUUUUGUUUCUUCUCUCGUUGCUCUUCUUCCCAUUCCACUUUUUCCCAUUCUACUUCUUCUCCAUCUUCCCUUACGUUACAACAAUUCACUUUUAAUAAAUUAACAGUUUUAAUAAAGUUUUUAUUUAUAUUAUCCA
rnacentral:lncRNA from 1 species